UUUCAAAAAUGUUUUUGGCACUAUGGUUUUGGUAAGAUCCAGGUUAACUGAAGCUUGUCAGAAUUGCUUUCUUCAGAAAAUGUCAACAUAUCAUUAGACAGUUGACCACGGACCAUAGCUCACGUGCUCUAGGUAUGGACAUAGCUUGUCUAAUCUCCAAUCGUUGGCAGGGAAUGGAGCAUUUGCCCUUCUGUAUGACCACAGCUACUCUCACUUGGAGGAUCAUCAAUAGACAAGGGUCAACCAGCUCCAGAGGAAGCCUCUUCUACAGCUCAGAGAACCUAUUCCUUUAAGUUUCCUCACCUCUGUUCCAAUGCCAGACAAGACUUUUACUGCAAACACUUCAGUAUCAUUUCUAAUAAAGAUAGCUUCCUAGCUGAAUAUCUCCAACAUA